GCCAACAUUUCAGCCACGCCUGGUUCAGAAAAAACCCACACAAACAGCAGAUUUUCAUGAAUGAGAAUGCGAAUGCAAAACACGGAACGAAUGGCUUACCUCGACAGAGAAAAUCUAAGAUGUGACAAAUCGGAUUAAGGCCUUCUCAACUGAAAUCUGCUUCGCCUCGGUGACGGAGUGAAGAAAUAUGAGAGGAAUGGGUAUCAAAUUAGAGAGAGGGAAGAAAGAACCCUCGGCUACACUAUUUUUAUGGGAUUUUCUGCUUCGCCUUGGUGAUCGAGUGAAGACAGAUGAGAGGAAUGGGUGCCAAAAUGAGAGAGAGGGAAGAAAGAACGGUCAAUCGGCUAGGGUUUUCUUGUGGGAACCUCUGCUUCGCCUUGGUGACGGAGUGAAGACAACUGAGAGGAAUGGGUAUCAAAUGAGAAAGAGGGAAGAAAGAACCGUCGGCUAGGGUGUUUUUGUGGGAAGCUCAACAUUUGAUUUUGGAGUUUUCAA
rnacentral:lncRNA from 1 species